GUUCUCCCCAUGUAGUUUUAAAGACAAGGCAUUGCUUUAAAGCUGAGAUACCCAUGGCUUGUUCUGUAAUAUACAAAUUAAAAUAGAAAUGAAUACAUAGAAAAAGCAAAGUUGGUUCUUUGGCCAGAAGCUUGCUUCCACAGUCAUAAAGAUACAGACAGGUAGAUCUAUCACUUUAAUUUAAAAAUGAAAAUCCCUUUAGAAAACUGCCAGACAUUCAGCCCUGGCCAAAUGGAUUUGAAAGGAUUGUUAUUUCUCCUGCUGUCAACUGGCUCUGGGAGAGUUACUGCUGGCAGGCUCAUUCAUAGAAGGAUUUGCAGUGGGGCCACCAAUGUACCAUCAUUCUUGACUUUGAAGGAAGAAGGGGCUUAAUCUUGAAACAGGGAGACCAAGUCUGGAGACCCAGCUGCAAAGUUCCAGAGAUUACUUCCAGGUGGCUCAUUAACAACCUGGCCAUUGUUGUGAUGACGUCAGCCUGAGGUCUCAGGUCCCAGGUCCCAGGUGGACUGAGACCCAAGACAGCCACCAGAACAAGACACACAGACAUUGUACUCAGCCCAAUGCUUGAAUGCCUUCCUUAUCAAGUUUUCCCAUUUUAAACCCUUGCCUUCCCCCCAAAAUCAAAGCAGUUACUUUGGAUAGGAAUCCAGCUGCUUCUUCUUUACUAGUUUUGGUUAAUAAAUUCACUUUCUUCCUACCGGA
rnacentral:lncRNA from 10 species